AACGCACCUUGCGCCCCGUGGUAUUCCGCGGGGCAUGCCUGUUUGAGUGUCACGUGAAACCUCGCCGGGAGCAUGUCAAAGUGCUCCGCGGUGGACUUGGACCGUGCCGUAGCCGGCUCGUCCUGAAAUGCAUUAGCCGGGUCUUGGUACCGCUGCGGCCGUGGUGUGAUAAUCCAUCUGCGCCUGUAAGUGCCUUGCGGUUCCGUCGGACCGGGCUCACAGUCGUCCCUCGAGGACAAUGACCACUGACAGUUUGGCCUCAAAUCAGGUAGGACUACCCGCUGAACUUAA
rnacentral:misc_RNA from 1 species